CGCAUGCGCCCUGAACCUGCAGUGCUUUUCUUGGCGCCGACCUCCGCUAUUUCGCGUACGGUGCUUUCGCAGCGAUUCUGAGAACCUAUGAAGUCAGUACUGGAGAAGGAUUCGCUGAGAUUCUUCUAGUCCAACACGAUCGUUGUACAGAGAUGUGAUUAUGGGAGAGAGAGGUCUGAAAGUCUUCAAAGUCUCUGAAGUCUUUAUCUUCCCAGCAAAAUGAAGGCAAAGUCAUCGGAUUGUGAAGGUUAUCAUGGGGCACACUGUCCGAAGAAUAGGCAGGCUGGGG